AGAGUUUGAUCCUGGCUCAGAUUGAACGCUGGCGGCAGGCCUAACACAUGCAAGUCGAGCGGUAGCACAAGGAGCUUGCUCCUGGGUGACGAGCGGCGGACGGGUGAGUAAUGUCUGGGAAACUGCCCGAUGGAGGGGGAUAACUACUGGAAACGGUAGCUAAUACCGCAUAACGUCUUCGGACCAAAGUGGGGGACCUUCGGGCCUCACACCAUCGGAUGUGCCCAGAUGGGAUUAGCUAGUAGGUGAGGUAAUGGCUCACCUAGGCGACGAUCCCUAGCUGGUCUGAGAGGAUGACCAGCCACACUGGAACUGAGACACGGUCCAGACUCCUACGGGAGGCAGCAGUGGGGAAUAUUGCACAAUGGGCGCAAGCCUGAUGCAGCCAUGCCGCGUGUGUGAAGAAGGCCUUCGGGUUGUAAAGCCCUUUUGUUGGGAAAGAAAUCCAGCCGGCUAAUACCUGGUUGGGAUGACGGUACCCAAAGAAUAAGCACCGGCUAACUUCGUGCCAGCAGCCGCGGUAAUACGAAGGGUGCAAGCGUUACUCGGAACUACUGGGCGUAAAGCGUGCGUAGGUGGUUGUUUAAGUCUGUUGUGAAAGCCCUGGGCUCAACCUGGGAACUGCAGUGGAAACUGGACAACUAGAGUGUGGUAGAGGGUAGCGGAAUUCCCGGUGUAGCAGUGAAAUGCGUAGAGAUCGGGAGGACAUCCAUGGCGAAGGCAGCUACCUGGACCAACACUGACACUGAGGCACGAAAGCGUGGGAGCAAACAGGAUUAGAUACCCUGGUAGNCCACGCCCUAAACGAUGCGAACUGGAUGUUGGGUGCAAUUUGGCACGCAGUAUCGAAGCUAACGCGUUAAGUUCGCCGCCUGGGGAGUACGGUCGCAAGACUGAAACUCAAAGGAAUUGACGGGGGCCCGCACAAGCGGUGGAGUAUGUGGUUUAAUUCGAUGCAACGCGAAGAACCUUACCUGGCCUUGACAUGUCGAGAACUUUCCAGAGAUGGAUUGGUGCCUUCGGGAACUCGAACACAGGCGCUGCAUGGCUGUCGUCAGCUCGUGUCGUGAGAUGUUGGGUUAAGUCCCGCAACGAGCGCAACCCUUGUCCUUAGUUGCCAGCACGUAAUGGUGGGAACUCUAAGGAGACCGCCGGUGACAAACCGGAGGAAGGUGGGGAUGACGUCAAGUCAUCAUGGCCCUUACGGCCAGGGCUACACACGUACUACAAUGGUAGGGACAGAGGGCUGCAAGCCGGCGACGGUAAGCCAAUCCCAGAAACCCUAUCUCAGUCCGGAUUGGAGUCUGCAACUCGACUCCAUGAAGUCGGAAUCGCUAGUAAUCGCAGAUCAGCAUUGCUGCGGUGAAUACGUUCCCGGGCCUUGUACACACCGCCCGUCACACCAUGGGAGUUUGUUGCACCAGAAGCAGGUAGCUUAACCUUCGGGAGGGCGCUUGCCACGGUGUGGCCGAUGACUGGGGUGAAGUCGUAACAAGGUAACC
rnacentral:rRNA from 1 species